CCUACGGGAGGCUGCAGUGGGGAAUAUUGGACAAUGGGGGGAACCCUGAUCCAGCCAUGCCGCGUGUGUGAAGAAGGCCCUCGGGUUGUAAAGCACUUUCAGUGAGGAAGAACGCCUGGUGGUUAAUACCCAUCAGGAAAGACAUCACUCACAGAAGAAGCACCGGCUAACUCCGUGCCAGCAGCCGCGGUAAUACGGAGGGUGCGAGCGUUAAUCGGAAUUACUGGGCGUAAAGCGCGCGUAGGUGGCUUGAUAAGCCGGUUGUGAAAGCCCCGGGCUCAACCUGGGAACGGCAUCCGGAACUGUCAAGCUAGAGUGCAGGAGAGGAAGGUAGAAUUCCCGGUGUAGCGGUGAAAUGCGUAGAGAUCGGGAGGAAUACCAGUGGCGAAGGCGGCCUUCUGGACUGACACUGACACUGAGGUGCGAAAGCGUGGGUAGCAAACAGGAUAGAUACCCGUGUAGUC
rnacentral:rRNA from 1 species